rnacentral:rRNA from 1 species
UACGUAGGGGGCGAGCGUUGUCCGGGAUGAUUGGGCGUAAAGGGCGCGUAGGCGGCCUGCUAAGUCUGGAGUGAAAGUCCUGCUUUCAAGGUGGGAAUUGCUUUGGAUACUGGUGGGCUGGAGUGCAGGAGAGGAAAGCGGAAUUACCGGUGUAGCGGUGAAAUGCGUAGAGAUCGGUAGGAACACCAGUGGCGAAGGCGGCUUUCUGGACUGAAACUGACGCUGAGGCGCGAAAGCGUGGGGAGCAAACAGG